GACGAACGCUGGCGGCGUGCUUAACACAUGCAAGUCGAGCGAUGAAGCACCUUCGGGUGUGGAUUAGCGGCGAACGGGUGAGGAACACGUGAAGAAUCUGCCUUCAACUCUGGGAUAACUCCGGGAAACCGGGGCUAAUACCGGAUAUGAGCCUUGGCCGCAUGGCCGGGGCUGGAAAGUUUUUCGGUUGAAGAUGACUUCGCGGCCUAUCAGCUUGUUGGUGAGGUAAUGGCUCACCAAGGCGACGACGGGUAGCCGGCCUUAGAGGGCGGCCGGCCACACUGGGACUGAGACACGGCCCAGACUCCUACGGGAGGCAGCAGUGGGGAAUAUGGGGCAAUGGAGGAAACUCUGACCCAGCGACGCCGCGUGAGGGAUGAAGGCCUUCGGGUUGUAAACCUCUUUCAGUAGGGAAGAAGCGAAAGUGACGGUACCUACAGAAGAAGCACCGGCUAACUAUGUGCCAGCCGCCGCGGUAAUAC
rnacentral:rRNA from 1 species